GAUGAAGAACGCAGCGAAAUGCGAUAAGUAAUGUGAAUUGCAGAAUUCAGUGAAUCAUCGAAUCUUUGAACGCACCUUGCGCCCUUUGGCUAUUCUGAAGGGCAUGCCUGUUUGAGUAUCAUGAACACCUCAACUCUCAUGGUUUGCCAUGAUGAGCUUGGACUUUGGGGGUCUUGCUGGCCUACGGUCAGCUCCUCUCAAAUGAAUCAGCUUGCCAGUGUUUGGUAGAGUCGCAGGUGUGAUAACUAUCUACGCUUGUGGUUUUCUGCCAGAUAACCUUCAGUGAUGGAGGUUCGCUGGAGCUUAUAAAUGUCUCUCCCCAGUGAGGACAGCUUUUUGAACGUUUGAUCUCAAAUCAGGUAGGACUACCCGCUGAACUUAAGCAUAUCCAAUAAGCGGAGGA
rnacentral:misc_RNA from 1 species